AUACAUGAUGUACAUGAUAGAACAAAUUCUACUCAUAAACAUCCUAUAUAUGUUGGACUGAGAAAACCCAAGCAGCCUCUUAGAUCUACCUUUAUAGAUCUUCAUCACUAGGAUGAGAGAUGCUUCUCUCAAAGUCCUUUAUGAACAACAAUAAUAAUAGCAAAAUUUUUAUUUUCUAUAAUGUAAGGAAUGUCAUUCUUGAUUAAGAGAAUUUCAUUCAUAUACAGGAUAAGAA
rnacentral:lncRNA from 1 species